GUUCUCCGUGGGUUCAAAUCCCACCUCUUCCGUUAUAAUUUCCUCAUAUUUAAUGUUUUUGUAACAACCUGAUACAAUAGAUAGUGU
rnacentral:tRNA from 1 species